rnacentral:rRNA from 1 species
CACGCCCUAAACGAUGUCGACUAGUCGUUCGGAGCAGCAAUGCACUGAGUGACGCAGCUAACGCGUGAAGUCGACCGCCUGGGGAGUACGGCCGCAAGGUUAAAACUCAAAGGAAUUGACGGGGACCCGCACAAGCGGUGGAUGAUGUGGAUUAAUUCGAGGCAACGCGAAAAACCUUACCUACCCUUGACAUGUCUGGAACCUUGCUGAGAGGCGAGGGUGCCUUCGGGAGCCAGAACACAGGUGC